AGAGCCCUGGAAUCCCCUUUCAGUCAAUCCUCUUGAACUGGGGGUGGUUUAUAAAGAGAUGCGGUAGACACAGACAACUGGCUUGGUCAGCAGCUCUCCCAGGCACCUCUGGGGAGUUCCGAGAGCUCUCCCCAACCACUCACACUCCCAGUUCCUCAUCAAGCCAGUCACGUUUUCAUGACUCCCCAAACAAGUCUCCCACCAAAUAUCUCCGCACCUCCCCCACCACACGACAAUGGUCUCCCCUUCUCCUUCCGACUUCACUAGUGGAUACCAUAUUUCCUGCAUCAGCUCUGAGCAUUCCCGAAAGAUCUCAAAAAAGCAGCCGGCUCUGCAAAAACCACUGGUUUUUGCCACAAUUAUGUCCUCAUCCCCAGCUCCACAGAGGACUGUGCCUGUGUCUCCUUCUCCUUCCUCCUGGUGCAGACAUCAGGCCCUGAACCCAAAGAGGGCGUGGUGAAUGAGGUGCCAACUGGAUUCCGGAGGGAAGGGCUGCACUGGGUAGGGAGCAAUGAGAACAGGCUCUGUCUACAGGGCUGGCGUCUGGGGCCCACUCUCCCCUCAGAUCCUCCAUUGUACAUCUUCUCAGGCAUUUUGCAGGCAUUUUUCUGUUCUCUCCAGCCUCUGUGGAGCCAUCCCCCCCUGCUGCCUGCCUGUGCUGAUAAAUAUGGCGGGCGAGAAACAGCAGUUCACGGCCCACAGUUCACACGGUCCCACCCGGCAAAUAAAACCCUCAGGCAUCAGAGGAGCCCAGCGGGCGCAGUGGGCUGGGGGCUCUGUGGGCAGCGGGGGACCUGCAGAAGGAAAAUCACACCCACCCCUCGAGCCCCUGCUUGGCCCGAGGUGCGAGCUAGUGAGGACCCAGGUGCCAAGCUCUGCAGCCCGCUGCUCUCAAAGGCUCCGGCAGGCACGUUCUCCGGUGACUCAGCCGCCUCACUCCCAGGACUCUUUAAUGCCUUUUAUCUGCCACAAAUGUUCUUGUCAGGGAGCUGGUGGGUGUUAGAUGUUCAAGCAGACUCAGGAGGUGUGAGCACAUACAUACACCAUCUUUUGAAAAGCACAUUUGUCUCACUCAAAAACAAACAAAAACAACACACCUUCCUGCUUUAAAGUACUGCCCCCGGAACUAACAGCCUGCCUCUGACGUUGGAGCUCCCAGCACACUGCCUGUCCACAGACAGGGAUUGUUUUCCCCAAAGGAAAGCAGAACCUUGUACCUGGAUCAACAGUCCCUUGGUGGCAGACAUGCUGGCGGCAGGAGGAAAGCUAGGACAAGCAGACAGACAUUAGGAUGGAACCACAAAUGUGCUUGGAUGUGCUCAGAUCCUGGCAGUGCUGCCAUCCCUGGGCACUGGGCGGGCAGUGGGGGAGGGAAGCCUGUGGCAGGGCCAUGCGGGGUGAACGCGGCACAAGAAGAAAAAGGGAGUGAAAAACAUGAUGUGAUUGGACAAUAACAACUGAUGACAUAAAGUUGUUUCCUGAAUUUUCUAGUCAUAAAACCCUCAGUGAAGUCACCCUGAUCUAAGAAUCUCAGUUAUUCAUUUUCCUAGCUCAGAGGUGUGGCCUCCAACACAACUGGACAGACUCUACUCCACUCCACACAUAUUCGAAGACCAGCGAGGAAAGGCUACUCCCCAUGGGAAGGCAGGGAGAGAGGCAAGAAUAUGAAUCUGCAGAAUAAGGAAGAGGAGGAGGCACUGCAGAGACUCUGGGAUUCUUAGCACCUGGUCUACCAUCCAAGUAUUAGCAGAAAGCAGGAAAAAAGAAUAAAUGAAUGAACAAACAAAUGAAUGAAUGAACAAUCACCUGAUAUCCUGAAGCAUCUCAGUGGGGCACAGAGUUCCUCAGAGGAGAGUCUGUUUGGUACAGAAAUGCCUCAGCCUGUGAGUUGGAAUGAACUGCCAUCUGCUUUGGUGACACCAAGAGAGGACAUUUGUUUUGGCUGUUGGGCAGACGUUAAUGAGGAAGACGCCACGUGGAUUUUUAUAAUCAUCACACACCAAGAGGUUUCUUCCAGAAUCUGAAACCAUGAGAGGCCAACUGAUGAAAGUCUGUUGCUGAAAGAAAACCAAGGUGGGCAUAUCAGGUGUCACAAGUUGACUCUUUUUUCUGUUUAUGAAACCAAAACCUCUUUGGGUUGCCCAACCCCUUCGGUCAGGAGAAUCAAAGUUUAUACUGAUGCCAUUAAAUGACAGACGCGUGGUAGCACUUGUGGAGUGUGUGGUGCCUCUUUCUACAAACGGCUGUGAAGACAACUCGACAAGGUGAGAACAAUCAUGGCACCCCCAUAUGGGAUACCUCACAGCCUUUGUUCACCAAAGGAGCACCCCUGGCACCAUCAGGGGAGGGUGGGGAUGGACACAGUCCACCAGAAUUCCUCAUCCCCUCUUGACUACAUCUCAGGACCUGCCCUCCUCCACACCAAAGGUUCUGGGGCUGACCUGCAACUGCACAAGGCCCUACUUCCUCUGUAUGUCUUUGAUCACUAACACAGUCAUUGUUAUUACUGUGAUUGUGUUCAUAAUAAAAAGUGCUCUUUGAGCAAGCAGUGCUGAUCUGAAUGAGCAGAGGUCACGGGGCUGAGAACAACCUGCUUCUUUCCCUUCUUGGUUGACAUAUCUGGCUUUCUUCAACUUUUCCAGCUUUCUUCAACUUUUCCGGCUUUCUUCAACUUUUGCUUGUGAUAUGGAUAAAUGACUUGCUGCUUUGACAUAGAACGCUGGCCCUGAAGUUAGGCUUUGCUUUUGGGGCUCCUUUGAAAAGAAAUAAAGUCUAAUCUACCUCCAGAACAAGAAGCUCCAGUCUGUACCCUAUAAGGGGCAACUCAGAGCAGGGAGGGAGGGUUGCAGUGGGCAGUGGUUUUGCCUCCUACUGGGGAAUCCAAGAUGGGAGAAAGAAAAGAUCCAGUACUAUCCUCAGCAGUGAAGCAAAUGUGCCCCAGAGAGGUGGACUCAAGUCACAGAGAUGGCCUCCUCCAGUGAUCACCAGAUUUCAACAUCACCUCUGCAAUAUAACUCUGAUAUAUGGAGGCCAAAGGGAAGACGAGAGAACCCAAAUACAACAUGUCGAUCUCUGCAAAUACCUUGUUAACUUAUUGACUGUAUCUUUAUGAAAAAGCUUACAGCAAAAUGCCACCUUCUCUAUCCCUUGGCCCUUUACUCUCCCAUAUGCAUUUCAGGAUCAGCUUAUUAAAUUCUGUAGACAACAUUAUCAGAGCUUUUAUUGAAAUUAUACUUAGUUAUUGUAUUCAUCUGCCAACUGAGAGUACUGGUUUAUCUCUCCAUUUAGAUAUUCUUUCUUCUCCUCCAAUGAAAUUUUAAAAUUACCUCCAUACGUAUCUCACGCUGUAUAAAAAUCAGAUUUAUUUUGGGGUUUCUUUGUUUCUGCAGUUAAUGUUAAUAGAAUUUUUAAAAUUUCAUUUUUCUACUUAGAAGCUGCAAGUGCUUGGGAAUGCCAUUGAACUUGUAUCCAGCAAACUUUCUGAAAUUGCUUAAUUGUUUAAUAGCGCAUAUUAUCUUGGAUUUUUUAAGGUGACUACCAUAUGGGUUUCAAAAAAUGAUAAAUUUCUUCCUCUUUCAAUUCUCACACCUCUUUAUUUCUUUUCCUUCCCGUAACUUCAGUGGCUAGGACUGCCUGUACCCGAUGUUGGAGAAGUGGUGGAACCGGGCUUCUUUAUUUCUACAUGUCACGUUUUAUCAUUAGGCAGAAUGGAUGUUUACUGCAGGUGCUGGGGAUGCCCUUGAUUGUGCCCUCUAUUCACAUUUUUGAGAAAACCCAGAAUGCAUGUACAUUUUUUAUUAAAAGCUUUUUAUCCAUUUAUUGGGAUGAUUAUGCACUUUGUCUCCUUUAUCUGUAGUGGUGGUCAGCUCCACUCAGUUUCUAGUGCGAGGCUACCUAUCCCUCCAUUUCCUCAUCAUGGCACAAUCUUCACGAAUACAGUGCUGGAUUCAUUUUGAUUCAUUUUAACUAUAUUUUAUUCAGGAUUUUUUAUCUCACUGUUUAACUAUUUACGAAGCCCUUACUUUAAAGCCGGUUUGAGUUGGAUCUUCUCUUUCACUUGCAGCAGAAAGGAUUCUAACUAGCACAAGCCUGUUGAAACAAAGGCAACUUCUAGAAUAUGUGGGCUCAUGUGUGGCUGCCACCGCAAGGUUUGCUUUGGUGAUAAAAUGGGAAAUGAAGGGAACGCCCUCAAAGACAGCAUGCUGAAUACACUGUGGUACCUCCACACCACAGACUAGAUUGUUAUUGUUAGCUGCCAGUGAGUUGGCCCCCGACUCAUGUCGACUCCACGCACAACAGGAUCCGACAGUUGGGAACCGUGGGGUUUUCACUGGCUGAUUUUCCGAAGUAGAUCGUCAGACCUUUCUUCCUGGUUCACGUUAAGUUUGGAAGCUCCACCUAAAGCCUGUUCAGUUUAUCACAACAACACACAAGCCUCCACCGACAGACGAAUGGUGGCUGUGCACGAGGUGCACUGGCCGGGAAUUGAACCUGGGUGUCUCAUAUGGAAGGCAAAGAUUCUACCACUGAGCCACAGGUUAGAUUAGACUGUAGCUAACCCUGAUUCAUCCUUUUUUCAGUGGCUGCAGAGUCCGGAUUGACACCACCAUACCCCCAGAUCCCUUAUUCCAGCAGCCUGUUCAACAAACAAGAAAUGCUGAAGUUCUGUCCACUUCUCAGAGAGGCCACAAAACAAAUGGGGAAAAACCACGAGGCUGGUUUCUCACCACCUCCAAGCCCCAGGCAGAAAAAGAAAACAGAUGUCCUUCAGGGACUGUUUUGCUCCUGGCAUCCUCUCCUUGCCUUUACAGCAAAUGAACAGAGGAGCCAGAAGAAGAAAAAUGUAAAAGAACGUUAUUUUUUUUUUCUUCUGCACCAGAAGAAAAUGACUUCUCCUAAGAAAAGGACAUCACAGGUAAUGUAAUCCAGGUGAGAGAAGACUACUGCUGGGAGUGAAGCCAUGAUGCGGCCAAGUAGGUUUUUGUGGAUUACCCCAGGAACGUCCAUCCACCACUGUCAGGAACUGAAUUGUGUCCCCCCAAAACACGUGUAUCGAUUUGGCUAGGCCAUGAUUCCCAGUAUUGUGUGAUUGUUCACUAUUUUGUCACCUGAUGUGAUUUUCCUUUGUGUUGUAAAUCCUACCUCUAUGAUGUUAAUGAGAUGGGAUAGGCAGCAGUUACCUGAACGAGGCAGGGCUCAAUCUACAAGAUUGGAUUGUGUCUUGAGCCAAUCUCUUUUGAGAUAUAAAACAGAGAAAUGAGCAGAAAGACAGGGGGACCUCAAACCACCAAGACAGCAAUGCCAGGAGCACAGCGCAUCCUUUGAACCAGAGGUUCCGGUACUGAGAUGCUUCCAGACCAAGGGAAGAUUGAUGACAAGGACCUUCCUCCAGAGUUGACAGAGAGAGAAAGACAUCCCCUGGAGCUGAUGCCCUAAAUUUGGACUUGUAGCCUACUAGAGUGUGAGAAAAUAAACUUCUCUUUGUUAAAGCCAUCCACUUGUGGUAUUUCUGUUACAGUAGCACUAGAUGACUAAGACAAUCACCUUUUCUAAGGAUUCUCUUUGUAAGGAAAACUGUUACUCAGCAAACAUUUGCUAGCACCUGCUCUGUGCCAGACUCUUGGCUAAACACUGGGGAUCUGGUGACCCCUACCUUCCAGGAGUAUAAUGAGAGAUUCCAACAU